GCCUGAGGGUUGUAAAGCACUUUCAAUUGGGAGGAAAANGGGCCUUUGGAAUACUUCGGCAGCUNGACAUUACCUUUAGAAGAAGCACCGGCUAACUCCGUGCCAGCAGCCGCGGUAAUACGGAGGGUGCGAGCGUCAAUCGGAAUUACUGGGCGUAAAGCGUGCGUAGGCGGUUAUUUAAGUCAGAUGUGAAAGCCCCGGCUUAACCUGGGAACUGCAUUUGAUACUGGGUAACUAGAGUUUAGUAGAGGAGAGUGGAAUUUCAGGUGUAGCGGUGAAAUGCGUAGAGAUCUGAAGGAACACCAGUGGCGAAGGCGACUCUCUGGACUAAAACUGGCGCUGAGGUACGAAAGCGUGGGUAGCAAACAGGAUUAGAUACCCUGGUAGUCCACGCCGUAAACCAUGUCAACUAGCCGNUGGGCCUUUUAACAGGCUUAGNGGCGCAGCUAACGCAUUAAGUUGACCGCCUGGGGAGUACGCCGCAAGGUUAAAACUCAAAUGAA
rnacentral:rRNA from 1 species